CUAUCAAACACAUAAUAAUGGGGUUCGAACCCACGCCCUUACUAGAGGACCAGAACUUAAGUCUGGCACCUUAAACCACUCGGCCAAUCUGACA